AUUGAACGCUGGCGGCAGGCUUAACACAUGCACGUCGAGCGAGAGGCGGACGGGUGAGUAAUGUCUGGGAAACUGCCUGUUGGAGGGGGAUAACUACUGGAAACGGUAGAUAAUACCGCAUACCAUCAGAUGUGCCCAGAUGGGAUUAGCUUGUAGGUGGGGGAAUGGCUCACCUAGGCGACGAUCCCUAGCUGGUCUGAGAGGAUGACCAGACACACUGGAACGGAGACACGGUACAGAGUCCUAGGGGAGGCAGCAGUGGGGAAUAGUGCACAAUGGGCGCAAGCCUGAUGCAGCCAUGCCGCGUGUGGGAAGAAGGCCUUCGGGGUGUAAAGCACUGUCAGCGAGGAGGCGUUACUCGCAGAAGAAGCACCGGCUAACUCCGUGCCAGCAGCCGCGGUAAUUC
rnacentral:rRNA from 1 species